GUAAUGUAUAUUUAAUAGGCAUAUAAAGCCUGUGUUACAUUCAAGUCUUUAUAUGGAGUAUAAAUAAAACAUAAAUCUGAAAGUGAGGAAAAGCCGCGCAUUGAUUCAAUUCACAGCAGUUUCCUAGACCGAGUUAAUCUCGAGAGUUAUUCAGAUCUACACAAAGUGCACAGGUGGGUGUAAAUAUAGGAAUAGGCGUGCACAAUGCCCCACAGGACCAGCAACAGCCUAAACCAAAUUUAUUCAAUAAUGAUCCUUCCGCAGGUUCACCUACGGAAA
rnacentral:misc_RNA from 1 species